AGUACUUACUUGGACAAGGUGUUGAAGCGUUUUAGCAUGGUGAACUCCAAGAAAGGGGAAUUGCCAAUCCAAAGCAAUACCAAGAUGAGUAAGACUAAGAUUUCGAGUACCAAUGCCAAGAUAGCAUAAAUGAGUCGAGUGCCAUAUGCUUCCGUAGUUGGCUCUAUCAUGUAUGCUAUGACAUGUACUUGCUCUGAUGUGACUUUUGCGUUGAGCAUGGUUAUCAGAUAUCAAGGAACCUAGGUAGAGCACAUUGGACCGCAGUAAAGAAGAUUCAUUUGUACAUGCGAAGGACUAAGGACUGGGUCCUCACCCUUGGUGGGAAAUAUGACUUGAGUGUGACAAGGUACAGUGACGCCAACNGAAGGACUAAGGACUGGGUCCUUACCCUUGGUGGGAAAUAUGACUUGAGAGUGACAGGGUACAGUGACGCCAACUUUCAAACCGACAGAGAUAACUUCCGCUGUCAGUCGGGCUGGGUAUUUACCCUUAAUGGAGAAGAAAUCACUUGGAAAAGUUCCAAGCAGGAGACUGUGGCUGAUUCAACGUGCAAAUCAGAGUACAUAGAAUCGAGCGAAGCAUCGAAGGAGGCAAUAUGUUUGAAGAGUGGCUGCCUUAACCAAGGAACCAAGGGAUCAGGGUAGUGAUGGGUUUUAGCCAUAAGAACAUCCUAUGUGCUCAUACAAACCCUAAUGCUUGGAUCUAGGUUUCUCUAUUGUACAUGCAAUUCAUCCAAGACUUUAAACCCUAAAUCUAGCAUACAAUUAAUCAUAUUAACAUAAGAAAUAGGUUUAGAUCUUACCUUGAUUGUUAUGUAGCAAUAACAAUCUCAAAGCCUCCUUGUAAUGACUUUAGAAAGCUUAGAGUCACAAAUGUCACUCAUCUAAUGGCUCACAAACACCAAGAGCAAGAAGAUGAAGAAUAAGGAGAGAAGAG
rnacentral:lncRNA from 1 species